UGUUCUGUGGCGAAGUUGGUUAACGCGCCCUGUCUAGCAAACUUGGGGAGACGUACGUGGGUUCAGACCCCACCAGAACUA
rnacentral:tRNA from 1 species